rnacentral:rRNA from 1 species
AAAUAAGUAAGAGUUUGUGGUGGAUGCCUUGGGUCUGGAAGUCGAAGAAGGACGUGAUUACCUGCGAUAAGCCUCGUGGAGCUGGACAUAAGCUAUGAUACGGGGAUUUCCGAAUGGGGAAACCUAGCUAGAUUAAUACCUAGUUACUCAGAACUGAAUACAUAGGUUCUGUAGAGAGAAACGCUGUGAACUGAAACAUCUUAGUAGCAGCAGGAGUAGAAAAUAAAUAAUGAUUCUGUCAGUAGCGGCGAGCGAACGCGGAAGAGCCCAAACCGACAUUUGUCGGGGUUGUAGGACAUUCUACAUAGAGUUACAAAAUUAGUGUAUAGAAGAACAGGUUGGGAAACCUGACAAUAUAGGGUGAUAGUCCCGUAUUCGAAAUGCAUCUAAUCUCUUGAAUGUAUCCUGAGUAGGGCGGGGCACGUGAAACCCUGUCUGAAUCUGCCGGGACCACCCGGUAAGGCUAAAUACUAACCAGACACCGAUAGUGAACAAGUACCGUGAGGGAAAGGUGAAAAGAACCCCGGGAGGGGAGUGAAAUAGAUUCUGAAACCACUUACUUACAAGUAGUUAGAGCCCGUUAAUGGGUGAUAGCGCACAUCUUGCAGUAUGGACCGGCGAGUUACGUUAACAUGCAAGGUUAAGUGGAAAAAAGCGGAGCCGAAGAGAAAUCGAGUCUUAAUAGGGCGAAUUAGUAUGUUGAUGUAAACCCGAAACCAGGUGAUCUAUUCAUGAGCAGGCUGAAGCUUAGGUAAAAUUAAGUGGAGGGCCGAACCGUAGUACGCUAAAAAGUGCCCGGAUGACUUGUGAAUAGCGGUGAAAUUCCAAUCGAACCUGGAGAUAGCUGGUUCUCCCCGAAAUAGCUUUAGGGCUAGCGUGUGAUUUUAAGUUAUGGGGGUAGAGCACUGAAUGUGGAAUGGCGACGCCUAGUCGUACUGACUACAAUCAAACUCCGAAUACCAUUAUGUAUAAUCAUGCAGUCGGAAUGCGGGAGAUAAGUUCCGUAUUCGCGAGGGAAACAACCCAGAUCGUCAGCUAAGGUCCCAAAACCAUGUUAAGUGAGAAAGGUUGUGAGAUUUCAUAGACAACUAGGAUGUUGGCUCAGAAGCAGCCAUCAUUUAAAGAGUGCGUAAUAGCUCACUAGUCAAGAGAUCUUGCGCCAAUAAUGUAACGGGACUAAACAUGGUACCGAAGCUACGGGUACGAAAGUACGUUAGGGGAGCGUUCUAAGGGCAAUGAAGCUAGACCGUGAGGACUGGUGGAGCGCUUAGAAGUGAGAAUGCCGGUAUGAGUAACGAUUCAAAGUGAGAAUCUUUGACGCCUAUUGGGGAAGGUUUCCUGGGCAAGGUUCGUCCACCCAGGGUUAGUCGGGACCUAAGGUCAGGCCGAAAGGCGUAGCCGAUGGAAAACAGGUUAAUAUUCCUGUACUAAACCUAUAAAAAGUGAUUGGAAUGACGGAGAAUGAUAGUAUUGACCACUUAACGGAUUGUGGUGCAAAUAUCAAAGUAGUUAUGUUGGCAAAUCCGCAUAAAUAAUACAAGAUAUGAUACGUAGGGAAAGCUUCGGCAAGUACUGAAUAAUAUGAUUUAUUCUUCCUAGAAAAGUUUCUAAACGUUUUAAUUUUAUGGGAACCCGUACCGAGAACGGACACACGUCCCCAAGAUGAGUAUUCUAAGGCGAGCGAGAUAACCAAUGUUAAGGAACUCUGCAAAAUGACCCCGUAACUUAGGAAGAAGGGGUGCUCACUUUAUGUGAGCCGCAGCGAAAUGUGAGGGGCAACUGUUUAUCAAAAACACAGCUAUCUGCUAAGUCGCAAGACGAUGUAUAGGUGGUGACGCCUGCCCAGUGCCCGAAGGUUAAGUUGAGGUGUUAGCUUAUGCGAAGCAUUGAUAUGAAGCCCGGGUGAACGGCGGCCGUAACUAUAACGGUCCUAAGGUAGCGAAAUUCCUUGUCGGCUAAUUACCGACCUGCACGAAAGGCGUAAUGAUCUCUCAACUGUCUCAACAUUGGACUCGGUGAAAUUAUGGUCCCAGGGAAAGCGCUGGGUACCCGCACCAAGACGAAAAGACCCCGUGGAGCUUUACUAUAGCUUUGUAUUGAAAAUUGAUUUAACAUGUGUAGGAUAGGUGGGAGACUAUGAUUUAGAGACGCUAGUCUCUAAGGAGUCACCCUUGAAAUACCACCCUUGUUACGUUGAUUUUCUAACUUGCAACCUAAACGGGUUGGAGGACAGUGCAUGGCGGGUAGUUUGACUGGGGCGGUCGCCUCCUAAAGAGUAACGGAGGCGUUCAAAGUUACACUCAAUAUGGUCAGAAACCAUAUGUAGAGCGCAAAGGUAUAAGUGUAAUUGACUGUGAGACAUACAGGUCGAGCAGGUACGAAAGUAGGACUUAGUGAUCCGGCAGUUCAUUGUGGAAUGGCUGUCGCUCAACGGAUAAAAGUUACCCCGGGGAUAACAGAGUUAUCUUCCCCAAGAGAUCACAUCGACGGGAAGGAUUACUACCUCGAUGUCGGCUCAUCGCAUCCUGGAGCUGAAGUCGGUUCCAAGGGUUUGGCUGUUCGCCAAUUAAAGCGGUACGCGAGCUGGGUUCAGAACGUCGUGAGACAGUUCGGUCCCUAUCUGGUGUGGGCGUUGGAAUAUUGAUGAGAGCUGCUCUUAGUACGAGAGGACCGGAGUGGACAUACCACUGGUGCUCCAGUUGUUUCGCCAGAAGCAUAGCUGGGUAGCUAAGUAUGGAAAGGAUAACCGCUGAAAGCAUCUAAGCGGGAAGCCUCCUCAGAGAUGAAUAUUCCCUUGAAAUUCCUUGUAGACUACGAGGUUGAUAGGUUGGAAGUGUACGUGUAGUGAUACAUUUAGCUGACCAAUACUAAUAAAUUGAUAGGUUUA